UUGGAUGGAAUUUUUUUGCUUUUCGUGAUUCCUGCGAAAACAUAGGGGUAGCUUAUCCUAGCACAAUUGAUUAAUUUUGCUUGACCAGCUAAAGCUCACGCUCUGUCUGCAACAUGAUGUUCCUUAAUUCGGCUGUCACUUGGAUGACUGAAGACGGCUUGGCACUGAGCAAAGUUUCUCAGUCAUUGAGCAGGCGUUCACAGAAAGCAAGGCACAAUGGAUUUUGUUUGGAUGUGAUCUGCUUGGAAGCUGAGCAGAUCCAUAUAUCUGGAUAGUGUUUUCCUCUUGGUAAAGGUGGACUUGGGGAUGUUGCUGGAGCUUUGCCUAAGGCUUUGUCAAAGAGAGGUCAUCGUGUCAUGUACAACAAAGGACUCCAGUUGGAGGAUCCACAUCACGUAUGGGAGCAAGAGAUCCGAAACUGGUAGAUACAUUCACUAAUUCUAUUUAG